GUUUCUAUCUAUGAAGUGUUUUCUUCUAGUACGAAAGGAUUGAAGGAAAAAGGCCCAUGCUUAAAGUAAGCCUUAACCUCACCUAAUGAAGACAACUUAAUUAGGUAAAGGGCACACAACCCUGCCUGAAAUAAACGCU
rnacentral:rRNA from 1 species